rnacentral:lncRNA from 1 species
UAAUUAAUUAAUCAUAUUCUGAAUUAUUAUAAUUUGCAGUAAUAAUGGACGAGGUUGAUGAAUUGGAGGUUGAUGAAGUGGAGGAAUUGCAAGAUUUACAUGAGGCUAAUUUUGAAGGAAAUAAUGAAAAUUUGGUGGAUAAAGUUGAAGAGCCUAAGAUUGAGAUGUGUUUUAAUAGUUCAGAUGAAAUGUUUGAAUAUUCCAUUACCUCAGAUGCAGAAAUAUCGGUGAUGGUUGUUCCGUCGGUGAUUGUAGAUUUUUGCGGGUGUGAAAGACUGAGAUUAAACAGAGAUUGAGAGAGAGAUUUUGCUAGCGUUGUCAAAAAGAAAAGUUAAACGGUGUGUUUUCUAUUUUAUUAAAAUGGAGUGUUUCAAUUCGGGGUGCAAUUCAGGGUUAAGUUUCGGGGGGAAAUAACUUUUUCCUUAAGAAAAUCCAAUAUUCAUACUCAUCAUGUGUUGGUAAAGGUGAUGGAUUGAUAAUUAAAAAAAAUAGAUGGUGAUAAUGAUGAAUUUGUCAUUGAUGAAUAUAGUGGUGGAGUACAUGGUUAGGAUGGAGUGGGGGGAGGGGGGGGGGGGUAGGGAGAGAGAAUAAAUAAAAUAAUUUUUUUAAUAAGGACAAUUUUGAAGAAAAAAAAGAGUAGAUUUUUUUUUUUAAAUAAAACUAUCUGAAACAUUCAUGAGUGUCAACAUUUUUUUCUGAUCAUACAAUUUCACCCUUAGUGGUUGUUUGAUGCUAAAAA